GGCGCACUACCGGCCGAUCUUCUCCGUCCUGUCGGCGAGGUCGAGCGAGAGCGUGCAAGUCGGGACCCGAAAGAAGGUGAACUAUGCCUGAGGAGGUUGAAGCCAGAGGAAACUCUGGUGGAGGACCGUAGCGAUUCUGACGUGCAAAUCGAUCGUCAAAUUUGGGUAUAGGGGCGAAAGACUAAUCGAACCGUCUAGUAGCUGGUUCCCUUCGAAGUUUCCCUCAGGAUAGCUGGCGCUCUGUCGCAGUUUUAUCUGGUAAAGCGAAUGAUUAGAGGUCUUGGGGGCGAAACGCCCUCAACCUAUUCUCAAACUUUAAAUUGGUAAGAAGCCCGACUCGCUCGUUUGGAGCCGGGCAUGGAAUGCGAGUGCCAAGUGGGCCACUCUUGGUAAGCAGGACUGGCGAUGCGGGAUGAACCGAACGCCGGGUUAAGGCGCCCGACGCGACGCUCAUCAGAGCCCACAAAAGGUGUUGGUUGAUAUAGACAGCAGGACGGUGGCCAUGGAAGUCGGAAACCGCUAAGGAGUGUGUAACAACUCACCUGCCGAAUCAAUCAGCCCUGAAAAUGGAUGGCGCUGGAGCGUCGGGCCUAUACCCGGCCGUCGCGGCGGUACGAGCAUCGAGUUGGUGAACUAGGCCGCGACGAGUAGGAGGUCCGGGCGGCGAAUUCCACCAUGGAGCU
rnacentral:ncRNA from 1 species